UCUAGAGGACAGAACCGCAUUAGCUCUAGAGCAGAGAACACUGUUCGUUCUAGAGGAGAGAACAGCGUUCCAGAGGAGAGAACAGCAUUGGUUUCUAGGCUGAGUCGGUAGGCCCGUUCUAGCUGGGCUUUGAGCUCUAUGUUUCCAUGGAAACCACUGAAGUCAUCUUUUGUCAUUUUCCGAUUAAAAUGCACAAUGAACUAGUCCUUUAAGCACUGAAGGCAGGGACACCACUGACUGUGAUGCCUGUCACUACACACCCCAGAGGAGUGCCGGAGUCCUCAGACAGCACCGCUAAUGAUUGACAGCCGGUAUCAGCGGGCCCCUACCUUGUCCUUCAGGUCGUUGAUGAUGGCCCAGUAGUUGCUGUAGUCGCGCUCGGCAGACGGGCCCUUGGUCUCGUAGUACUCUCUGAUCUGCACCUCCAGCUUGGAGUUGGCCGCCUCCAGGCAGCGCACCUUGUCCAGGUAGGAGGCCAGGCGGUCGUUGAGGUUCUGCAUGGUGGCC